rnacentral:rRNA from 1 species
UACGUAGGGUGCAAGCGUUAAUCGGAAUUACUGGGCGUAAAGCGUGCGCAGGCGGUUUUGUAAGUUUGUCGUGAAAUCCCCGGGCUCAACCUGGGAAUUGCGAUGAAGACUGCAAGGCUAGAAUCUGGCAGAGGGGGGUAGAAUUCCACGUGUAGCAGUGAAAUGCGUAGAGAUGUGGAGGAACACCGAUGGCGAAGGCAGCCCCCUGGGUCAAGAUUGACGCUCAUGCACGAAAGCGUGGGGAGCAAACAGGAUUACGAA